rnacentral:rRNA from 1 species
ACAAAGGGCAGCAAGUUCGCGAGGACAAGCAAAUCCCAUAAACCGUGGCUCAGUUCAGAUCGUAGGCUGCAACUCGCCUACGUGAAGGAGGAAUCGCUAGUAAUCGCAGGUCAGCAUACUGCGGUGAAUACGUUCCCGGGCCUCGUACACACCGCCCGUCACACCAUGGAAGUUGGCCACGCCCGAAGUCGUUACUCCAACCCUCUGGGAGGAGGACGCCGAAGGUGGGGCUGAUGACUGGGGUGAAGUCGUAACAAGGUAGCCGUACCGGAAGGUGCGGCUGGAUCACCUCCUAAC